GGGAAAAGAAAAAAAGGCUAAUAUAGCCAUAAAGAAUGCUUUUAAAUCAAGUAAUACACUUGACUUAGAAAGACAAGCCAGCGGCAAUUAUAAAAUAAUGACACCUAAGAAUGUUUUCAAGAAGUCUGGUUCAUAAUGCAUUCAAACUUAAAAAAAUAUUAAAGACAACUAAAAAAAUUUUGCUCAUUUUUGGAGCAAAAAAACUACCAAAGAAGGAGCAGCUUGAGGGAAUAUUAAUGGAUUAUGAGAAGAAAAUGAAACUGAACUAUUUUGCGUUAUCCUACAAGAUGAAUGAUUAUAGAGUACAAUAGACUGACUAACCAGGAGUUGAAAGCCAGAUCAUAAGAUAUUUGAAGAGACACAGUAACCUCUCAAAAUGAGGCCAAUUUUCUUAGAUCAGGCUUUUCACUUGAGUGCUGUACAUGUGUGUCCUUCAGGUACUGAUGAAGCCUCUACAGAGCUCUCUUCUCAGCCUUGCUCUGCCAUUUCUGCUGCUACUGCAGCAGUGACACUGGAAUCCCUGAAGCAUCAAAUCUUGAAUUGGAGGAAAAGUCUCAACAGUUCAGAUAACUGGACCCAUUCCAGACUGCUAAGACCUACAACCCCAAAUUCUUCACCAGACCACAAGCACAGUUAAUGCAACUGGUAGAAUAUGUUCCGGGAACAUGUGAA
rnacentral:lncRNA from 1 species